rnacentral:lncRNA from 1 species
GGUUACGGUUUCUUUUUCAGUGAAGCCAGGAGAGAAAAGAGAUGGCGGGGUGCUCAAUAGAGGGAGGAGGAUAGACCGUGGCGGGAACCCGAGGAGCCCAAGCUGGACGCUGAGGAAGAGCCCACCCCGCUGGUUGGAGACCUCCGCAGAAGAAGGACGGUUCUGUUACUAGGCAACCAGGCCCGGGCCCGCCUCCCGCCCGUGUUGCCAGGAGACGACGAGGCCUGGGGGAGGGCGGCGGAGCGGGCCCUACGUGCUGACGCUAAUUGUAUAUGAGCGCGAGCGGCGGGCUCUCGGGUCUUUUUUAGCGCCAUCUGCUCUCGGCGCCGCCUCCUGCUCCUCCCGUCUCCGCUGCCUCCCUGAGUCACUGCCUGCGCAGCUCCGACCGCCUGGCUCCCCGUACUAGCUGCCGGUAAUGGAUGGGGGCCUGAAAGGGAACGUGGAGUUGGUCGGGCGGCCUUCACGGAGGGGAGGGACGGUGAAGCGAGAGCAGUGGCUGCUGGCUGCCCUGGGCCUCCGGGUCGUCCGGUGAGGCCGGAGUGGUCUGCGGAGUCUGGACACGGCAGCCUGAGAGGGGCCCAGGGCCGACCGGUGCUUUUUUCAGGGGCCGCUGAGGAGACGCGGGGGGUCGGCGCGCCCUACCGUGCUUAAGGUUUCUCGGGGCCCCACCGGCUUCUGCGCGCGGACUGGAGCGAGGCCGCGGCGACGCCCGGGUAUUUUAGAGGAGUCGGCUGCCGCGCGGCAAGGAGCGGGAGGCGCUGGGAAUGCGGGCCGGGCCAGUGUGGAGCCCGCCACCUCGAAGCCUCUGUCUUUUCCCCCCCAAAGUAAUAACCCGAGGGAGGCAGCUGGGGGAUGGAAAGAACCGGGAAGGCUGCGAAUUCCGACGGGAGGGAGGGAGGGGCCGCUGAGGGACCAGGCCCGAGGCAGGGGGGCGGGGAGGCUGCGGGGCUCUCCGCCCACUGGGGGCGGUGGCCGUGCGGGGGGGGGGGGGGGGCCCCCCCCCCCCCCCCCCCCCGGCUGCUUCCUUCGACACGUGGUGAGGGGGCUGCGUGGCCGCCUCCUGGCCAAGAUUGGAGACCCUUGCAUCGGGUGGGAGUGUGUGUGGGGGUGCUAUUCUUACUUUCAGUGAAAGUUGUAGAGUUGGUAGGGUAUGAAAAGGAAUGAUGAGCUCAUAAGUCCCUGUCCCCUGGGUUUCCAACUCUUAACUGCUUCUCUUUGGUCUUAAAUCUUUAUUGGUACCAGAGGAAAUUUCGAAUGUUAGCUGAUACACUGCCAGGAUUUUAAAGAAUUAAUGCGUGUAAAGCGCUUAUUUUAGCUGUUAUUAACAAAAGAUAGUAUUGUGUGUCCCAGAUACAGUUAGAACUUAAGAUGGGGAGGUGGGUGUCUGCACCCACCUUUGUUUUUGAGGAGUGGGGAAGGGGAAGGAUUGAUCCUCAUCUAUCUAAACCUUCAAACGUUUCUAAGAAGGUAAAGGGUUUGGCUUGUUAUAGUUUAGAUUCUCACAGGCUUUCCGACAUUAUUUCCUUUAAUGAGGUUCCCAGAAUAGGAUACUUCACUAGCUAUUUUUAAGGUGAAUGGGGUGGCGGGUUAAUAUAAACUGACCAACCCAAGUGAGUACCUGCUACCUUGUCUAUGUGCCCCAUUUCAGUAAAAAUCUCUUGGCAAUUAAAGGAGGCGGCCACUGAGGUCCUGUGGGGGAGGGCUAGUACAAAGGAUCACUCAAGCAGGCACAGGCUGUCCUCAAGGAGUCCCCGGUUUAAACUAUUACUGGUCUGAUGAGUUCCAGGAACACUAUACUUUGAAAAUCUCAGAAUUUAAACCGGUUGCAAAUUUUCAGGAGAGGUGUAAAAGAAAAUUUGCUAUUUUUGAAAAUACCAUCAAAACAUCUUUUGAAAGUAGUGUCUGUGUCCUCUUUUUUUUUUUUUUUUUUUGCAUGCUGGGGAUUGAACCCAGGGUUUUGUGCAUGCUAGGCAAGAGUUCCACCCCUGAGCUACACCCCCAGCCCAUGUCCUGUUUUCUUGUCAGCUUAGAUUAAUGCUCCUUAUCUUAGAAGUAAUAGUUCUACCUUUAGAUAAGAGAAAAAUCAUACACAUAUAUGUAAUUUAUUUAAAACUGGAGGAAAAUGAGGUUUUCAGUGGUCUUUAGGGAUUUUAGUGUCUCAAGCUUGUUUGAAGUUGCUAAAGUGGAAAUACAUGUUCUAAAUCUAAACCGUGCAGUUGUACUUUUAAGACUGGAGCUAACAUAAGCAGGUGUACUUAGAAGACUUAAUCUUUUGUGAUUUUAAAAUGUUCUUUUCAAGCCAGUUGUUGGUUAAAGUAAUGAAAUGAGAAACUUCACCAUACUUGGGUGCAAAUCUUUGUAAAUUUUAUCUAUUGUGAAAUAUCUGCUUUUUAUAUUACACCCAUUAAUUGAACGAAUUACUAAGUUAAUACUAAAUGAGGCACAUGACUGUCCUUACACAAGGUUUUUUUUUUUUUUUUGUUUUGGUACACUCCUAGCAGAAGUAAUGUGAUCUAAAUGCCAUAGCUUAUUUUAUUAUUCAAUUUGCCCAUAUUGGCCCCAGGUGAUUAAUUUGAUUAUAAAUUCUUAAAAUAUUUCAAAACAAGUGGUCUUUCUAUAGAAGGGGCUAAAAGAAGCAGAAUGCUUGAUUUAUAAAGGUCUGAGGAUGUCAAAACAAAAUUUUGUUACUUUAUUUAGUAUUUUGCUUGGUUGUAAAUUCUCAAUAUAAUUAAAAGAUUAAAGAAUGAGCCCCUCAUUUUCUCCAGUAUAGAAAUAAUAAUGAUCAAUCUAUUUGGAGUCUUAAGGUUUAAUCAAACCUGAAAUCAUUUGUAGUCUUGGCUAAUACUUUGAGUAAAUAUUUAAGUUCCAUUUAAACUCAUUUCAUCUGAAUAAGUAGUUUUUGUUGGGUAGAGUGGUGGUUAGAAGGUGGGAAUAGUUGCUUUACACCUCUCUUUGUUAAGUUUUUCAUUGCAUCAACAGCAUUAGAGCACAUUACUGGUGUCAUGGAAAGUGGCUUCUGUACCUUCCUUGAGUUACCAAUUCUGCCAUUUAUUGCUGCCUAUUUGAAUACUUCGCUUGCUGCGAAGUUUGUGCCUGUUGAUAGCCACCCUCUCCCCCAAUGUGGCCUGUGAUAAUCAUUUUUUAAAAUAAAGUAAGAAUACAAAAGUACAAUGGAAAAAUAAUAAAAGAGCAGUUACAGGGUGAUUAUUCAAGCCUUGUUUUAAAAUUCUUUUAACAAGGAAACAGUAUGUUAUGGUUAAAGAAACUAUCCAGGGUUACAUAACUGAGCAAUGAGGACUUAAAAUGAGGUGAUUUUUGUAGUGGUUUUUGAAGGAUGUCCCUUAAACUGUUUUGCUAUAUUUUGGAUUCUACAGUGCUCUAGGGAAAAGCUACAACAUUGUAUAGUUAUGAGGUGUUCUUCCAUGUAGUUGGGCCAUAUGUACGCCACUUAUGUAUGCUGCACGUACAUGUAACUUUGGAAGUACCAUGAGGAUAAAUUUUGUAAGUAGGAUGAGUUUUGACCAAGUGUCCUGGGUCCUAGGAUAAGUUUCCCUGUUAUUGGAUUAGAUGAUACUCUAUAGAUAUUUUUGGACAGAAAAUAACAGUGUUCUCAAAUAGGAAUUCAUUUUGCUUGGGAGUCUAAUACAAAGUUCUCAGUUGACUAUUGAUAGCACUGAAAUGAAAAAACUGAGUGUAAAAAAAAUAAGCUGUUUAAGCUGAGGGGUUGUGUUGUAGCCAAAUGCAGUGCUAUCUAAAAAUUUUUGCUUAAAGUUCAUUUGGAAUGAGGUCUGAGGUAAAGGGAAAACUAUAUCCUGGGGUAUUAUUGUUUCCUUCUUUGGCUUUAAACCAUUUUUGUUUUUUAGUGAUUGGCUGUUUCAUCAUGAAGUAGUCAUUUUUUGUAAACGAAUAAUGCUUUAGUUUAGUGAAUAAUCUAUGUAACAGGCUGAUUGGAAAGUACCCUGGUUUUUAGAAUAGUGGAAUGGGCUUUUGUUUUUAAAGUCAGGUUUUAAAACCUAACUACUUCAGGAUUGUGUUGCUAAGCAAGGCGCUUAAUAUUUUAUUUCCAAAGUAGGAGGAAAGCCUAUAAUUCCUUACAGAGUGGCCAAAUGUUUUGAUAAAUGUUGGCUUUCUUCGUAUUCAUUGAUAGUAUGGGCAAUUUACUCAGAAUAAGGAUUACCAGAAUGAUAAGAAGUUGAUAGUAGGUGUCUGGACAUCUGGUUAUUAAAAGACCACAAAAUGAUCAGGUUUUGUGGCCUGAUUUAGUCAAUGGCCUGUUUUCUAAUGAAAGAUUUUCUUCAUAUUAGAAUUUUCAAGAUUAAGAUUUACUUUCAGGAAUACUGUUUGGAAUCACCAUGCCUUUCCAUUAAGAUCUUCUGUACAUUAUAUAUUGGAUUAUAAAUUGAACCAUUUUGGAAAAAGUGGCCUUUUUAUAUUUAGUAAUACUCUUGAAGUUUGUUUUUUUCUGAUGUUAAUAUAUUAGGUUCAUACUGGGUUUUGAAACUAGAUGAUGAAUUUCUUAUCCAUAGAAUGACACUGAAUUUUCUUGAAGGCAGUCUUGGGAAAUUUUUUUUCUUUUGUGUACUAGGGAUUGAACCCAGUGGUGCUCUACUACCAAGCUACAUCCCCAGCCUCCUUUUUAAAAAAAAAUUGUGAGAGGGUCUUGCUAAGUCACCAAGAAUGGAGUCGAUCUGGGUGAUUCUCCUACCUCAGUGUCCUAAGUCACUGGGAUCAAGGUGUGACCCCAUGCAUGGCCUGACUUAGAAUCUUUGAUAGGAACAUUUACUUUUACAUUUAAUGUAAUUCCUCUGAAGUUUACAGGAGUAUUUUACUUUUAUUUAUUUUUUGGUACUGAAAAUUGAACCCAGGGACAUUUUACCACUAACCUCUACCCCAGCCCUUUUUAUUUUUUUUAUUUUGAGACAGGGUCUUCCUACCUUGAUGAGGCUGGCCUAGAAUUUGGAAUCCUCCUGCCUCAGCCUGUGGAGUUGCUGGGAUUACUGAUGUGCAGUACUGUGCCCAACUUUUCAGGUUUAUUUUAAAAGUGUGUGUUUUCAUUACUUUAUUUUGGAAGUUAUAUAUGCUGUUUUCUAAUCUUUUGGUAGUCAUUCUGGAAAUUACUAUUUGCAUACUUAACAAACAUUGGCGUGCUUAUUCACAUCACUGACUUCAAAUAGUGUGAUAUUUUUAAUGUUUUAACACUCACAAUGGUAAUUUUAUUUCUUUCAAAAUCCUUAUUUAGCUGGACGUGGUGGUGUGUGCCUAUAGUCAUAGUGCUAGGGAGGCUGAGGCAGGAGGAUUGCUUGAGCCCAAGAGUUUUGAGCCUGGGAACCUAAUGGGUCCUCAUCUCUAAAACAGACACAAUCUUCAUGUAGAUAUACACAGAUAAUCUUUUUUCCUUAAUGUAUUUUCAAGUUUCCAUCUGGAAUCACUUGCCUUCUAUAUGAAGAUUAUACUACAGAAUAUUUCAGUGAUAGUGCUUGGAGGGAGGUAUUGUUAAGUGAAAUAUUUGCUUUGUUUUCAUUCUUAUAGAUUACAUUGUUUGCAUAUAGUAUUCUAAGAUCAUCAGUUAUUUUCAGAAAGUUAUGAAUUCUAUUAUCUUUUGGUAUCUGAUUUUGAAGAGAAGCCAGCUGUCAGCUAUGCCUUUGAAAUUAAUCUUUUGUGUACUUUCUUAGGUGACUUCUUUGUCUUUGGGAUCUUGCUUUUUUACUUAUUUAUCUAAGUAUGGUUUUCUUUUUUAUUUGUCUUGAGUAGAAUUGAUAAAACUCCCUGAAUCUGUGAGUUGGUGUCUGUUUCAUCAGUUCUGGAAAGUGCUUAGCUAUUAAUUUGUUCAUGUAUUGUUUCCUAUCCUAUCUUUUCCUCCUAGAACUUGAAGUUUUUUUUUUUUUUCUUCCCUAUGAGAGAUUGAACUCAAGGUACUUAAUUAACCACUGAGCCACAUCCUCAGCCCUUUUUAUUAUUUGGGACAGGAUCUCACCAAGUUGCUUAGGGCCUUGCUAAGUUGCUGAUAAACUUGGUGAUCUUCCUGCCUCGGCCUUUCAAGCCUCUGUUAUUACAGGCAUGAAAUCUUUUUUAGAUUUUGUUGUAUCCUAAAAUGUCUUCUCAUUUCAGUACUUCCAUUCUUUAAUCUCUUGCUCUGUUUUAGAAUAGUUCUUCUUUGCUUUCUUUAGCUCGCUUAAUUCUCAAUUUUGUUUAAUCUACUAAAGGCGACCCUUUUAAUUUGAUAUAUUAAGUUCUUUUCCAAAUCUGCUGUUAACUUAAUACAUGUCUAUUUCUUGCAGAUACUGUUUUUUCUUCCUUUCCAAUGAACCCAUAGUCUUGCACAUGCCAGGCAAGCACUUGAUUCCGGAACUAUACCUACAGUUCCCGAUACUAUAUUUUUAGACUUAGUAAGACUGGUUGUUUUUUGGCCUUUGUCUACAGUUUGUUUAUAGUCUAAUUGACAAUAAUACUUAAGUCUUUGUAGGGCUGGUUUCUGUUGUAUUCCUUUAGGUUGUUCUGGUUGCCUUUGGAAAUUACUUGUAUGAAUAAUUAGAGAUCUAGAAUGCAGGUGCUUUUCACUUACAUUUGAUAAGCAAGUGCCUGUGAGUAUACUGCCAGGAUAUUUGACGCUAUCUUGGAGUUUGGAGCAGCAACACAGAUGAAAUGAAUUUGGGCCAUUUGUUUAAGAGAGCUGGCUUAUAAUCUCUGAAGACAUAGCACUUUGGGGUUCCUGCUUAUUUUCAGAAAGUUAUUAUGAAGAUUCCUCAUAGGAUAGGCUCAAAAUUUUGAUUUCAAAUUAAAAUCAGAGUUCACAUUUGCUGAUAAUGGCAGUUGACCUCAGGGCAAAAGUAUUUUCCUAUUUUGCCUUCAUUUUUUGACCAGUAGUAAUUCUGUAUUAUAUUAUUAAUGUUUCAGUGCUAUUUAGAUUUUAAUAAAUUUGUUCUUUGCUUUUAAUUAUUUUUUAUUGGCAGUAUUAAUCUGCAUAAAAUAGCUUGUCAUUAUCAGGAAUGAAAAGUUUUUCACAGAUUUUGGAGUGCAGUUUUAUGUCCAACAUUGUUUGAUAUAAUGUCAACCAGAUUAAAAAAAGCAACGUAGGUAUUAAUAUAAACCUGUAUUUUUCAGUGUAAUCUGAUUAUCUGAGAGCCACCUGCCUCAGAAGCUGCAAGGGGUAGGGGUUAAAAAUGAAGAUUUUGGCGGGGGGGGGGGCAUUCCAUUGGACCUAAUGGUUUUUUUCUUCUUUUAACUUUUAAUUUUAGGUUUACAAGAAAUUUGUAAACAUAGGUCAGAGAGUUUCUGUAUGCCCCUUUCCCAUUUUUUCCUAAUAUUAGUAUCUUAAAGUUACCAUGGUAUAUUUGUCAAGACUAAAAUAAUCUAUUUUUUAACUAUCAUCCCAGCUUAUUAUUUUGGAGAACUAUUCAGUGGUAUAAUUAAAAAUGGAUUGGAUGAAAAUAGCAUGUGUUCUUUAGAGUACUUACCAGGUAUCAAACUCUGGUUAAAGUUUUAACAUGGAUUUGUUCCUUGAAUUUUUUUUUUUUUUUAAUAGGAUGAAAACAUUUUUUAAAUGCUGAUAAAAAUAUAAAGCUGUACAUAUGAGUGGAGUAUACUCCUUGAAAUAAAUUCAAUCCAAUGAGGGAAUUUUUUCUUAACUUUUUAUGUAUGAUGAAAUGAAGCCAGAAGUUGUUUCCCUGUUGAUUGCUUCAAAGGUAGUGUAAACCUUAAUGAUUUAACUGAAAUUAGGCCCAGUUUUAUGAAUGUACACAAGCAAAAAAUCUAAUUUUCCUGAAUGGGCAGUUUGGAUCUUCAUUAAAAAGUUUUAUUUCAAAAGUUCAGAAUCUAGAGAUAGUGCUGAAAACUGGACAUUGAUGGUAGUUCUGUGAACAUGUUAAAAUGGCCUAAAAAUUUAAAUCGGAAAUUCUGAGUUUUUUCCCCAUAUAUCUUUCCAUAUUCCAAUUGCUAGGUUUAUUAGACAAUAUGUUAAUGUUUACAACCCAGGAAAUUGAAAAAUAUUACUGAUUUAGGUAAACUUCUUUAUACUGGAAAACCAAGUAAUGCAAAUUUAUAGUCAAAUUAUACUUUAUUGUCAUAUAUAACUAAAAAGAAAAAAAUUUUUAAAAAUUCUCAUUUCUCAUGUUUUAUAGUAACUACUUUCAGGUUUCUGAUAUAGAAAAAGGUUUUAUUUAAGGGGCUGGUGGUGUGGUUCAAUCAUAGUUAUGUGUUUAGCAUGUGUUCUGGAUUCAGUUCCUCAGCACCAAUAAAAUGUAUGUAAAGGUUUUGUUUAUAUUAUAAAAGUAUGUACGUGUAUGAGCAUACUUAUAUUUUAUUCAUGUCCUAAUGGGAUUUUGCCAUAUAUUUUAUACCUUACAUUUCUAUAUCAGCUCUUGAGAAUUGCUUCCAUUUUCACUAUAAAGCAUUUCCUUAUAUGUGCAUUCCAUGCUAAUAAAUUUAUAACAUAUAAGUUGUGUAUAUUACUCUGAAGAAUAGUGAUUGGUAAAAGCAUAUAAAUUUCUGUAAUGAGUCUCAUCUGAAAAGUUGGGAGAGACCUUAGCUUACACUAAUGUGUAAUUAUAUACUUGAGACAUCUUGGGAUGGAAAGAAAUAGAACUAUAUAGGAGUUUGUACAACAAAGAAUUAUUUAACCAGUUGUUCAAGAUGUAUAGGAUUUGUUCACUGGGGCUUUGGAGGGAUCUUGAAGGUGAAUAUGAAAAACAAGGCCUUACAUGCUCAGUAGUACCUUUUUUUUAAAGAGAGAGAGAAUUUUAAUAUUUUUUUUAGUUUUCGGUGGACACAGCAUCUUUCUUUGUAUGUGGUGCUGAGGAUCGAACCCGGGCCGCACGCAUGCCAGGCGAGCGUGCUACCACUUGAGCCACAUCCCCAGCCCGCUCAGUAGUUCUUUAUGGAACAUUCUUAUAAGUAAAUAAGGCUGGAGAUGGAUAUAUUUAAACUUUGCCUUUGAAAUUCCUUUAACCAGGAAUAACUGUCCAGAAAAGUACUAGUUUAUGAGAACAUAACUCAGAUUUAAGAAAGAAUAUUUAUUAAAUUUUUCCCUGUGUUGAAAGAAAAUUCUCAAUGAUUUGAUAGACACUUAGAAUCCCAAAUACAUUUCUUUGAAGAUUCAAUAUUUUUCUUAAUUUUUGAAUUCGAUUUCAUCAGUAGUUUGCUAAACAUUUUGUAGAUAUAUGCUAAUUGCCCAGUAUCACUGGAGAAAUUUGUCAGUACUACUAGGAAAUAUUUAAGGAAACAUUUUUAAACAAAAGGAAGGUAUAUUAAAGAUAUAUUAGAAAGAAAUAUUUUCUUUAUAAUUAAAGGAUAGAUACUAGAUCAGUAAUACUCCUCAAAUAUUACCACUUGACUUAAAAUCAGAACCUUAAAUACUCUUAAGUAAUAUUUAAGCAUGCUGUUAUGAGAGUAGUUCAUCUUAUAAGAUUUUGUGGAAUUAAUCCUAAGGCUGAAAGAUGAAAACUUGAUUUCUAAUGCGGAAUUCUGUCUAAACUUGGUUUAGGUUUUUUUUAGUGAUCUGGAUGACUUAACAUUCAGCCAUUUUUCACUUAAGUAUUUAACACAUUUACCUUAAGGUUUUCUUCCCUUUCUCAGAAGUAUUCUCUAAGCCUUAGGAAUUUAAGUCAUUUAAUCAAUCUUUCCAGUAAACUUACUUAGAUUUGGUAAUCAGAGUGUUAAUUAACAGUGUAUCAGCAUUACCAGGGGAGGUUGUUGCAGGGGAUGGUGGGAAUGGUUGUACAUCAGUCAUGUGAGAUGAGAUACAGAAGGUUUGUCUGACAUAAUAGGUUGGGACCUAGAUUUUUACAAUUAAUGUGUAAUCGUUUUAAAGGGCUGAUGUGUGAUGCAGAGAUUACUAAACCUUUAUUUUUUUAAUACCUCCAGGAGCAUAAGUACAAUAGGUAGCAAAUAUUUUUUUAACUUGAAUUUGAUAAAAAAAUAAUACUGUUAAAAGUGAAGUGGAUUUGUUCAAAGAUGCUGAAUAGCCUAAAAGUUCAGCAAAAAUUUAACAUAUAUGAUUAAAAGAAUUUGAACAAAAGACUUUGGUAACACUAUUCCUUUUACAGCAAAUAGGAAUUCUUUACUGAUGAUGUUAAUAUAAUAAUUUUUAUAUCAGAUUCUAAAAGCCUACUCUAACAUGUUUGUUUUAAGCAAUAUUCUCCUGAAAAAAUAUUUUAACACUGAUGUUUCUCUCCAUAGGUAUUUGAAGUUCCUACAACAUGGCAGACAUUGACAAGUAAGUGGCAA